rnacentral:rRNA from 1 species
UACCAGCACCCCGAGUGGUCGGGACGUUUAUUGGGCCUAAAGCAUCCGUAGCCGGUUCUACAAGUCUUCCGUUAAAUCCACCUGCUUAACAGAUGGGCUGCGGAAGAUACUAUAGAGCUAGGAGGCGGGAGAGGCAAGCGGUACUCGAUGGGUAGGGGUAAAAUCCGUUGAUCCAUUGAAGACCACCAGUGGCGAAGGCGGCUCACUGGACCGGUUCUGACGCUGAGGCGCGAAAGCGUGGGGAGCAAACGGG